GACUCGCUCCCGUACAACCCACGCGAACCUACCUACACUCGUUGCCUCGGCGGGUGUCCCGGCGCACGCCGGGGCGCCGCGCCCGCCGACGGCCCCCCACACCCUGCCUGCGUACUGCAUCUCCGAGUCGUGGCAAACGAAUCAAAACUUUCAACAACGGAUCUCUUGGUUCUGGCAUCGAUGAAGAACGCAGCGAAAUGCGAUAAGUAAUGCGAAUUGCAGAAUUCAGUGAAUCAUCGAAUCUUUGAACGCACAUUGCGCCCGCCGGCAUCCCGGCGGGCAUGCCCGUUCGAGCGUCAUUUCAACCCUCAGGCUCCGCCUGGCGUUGGGGUCCUGCGCUGCAGCCCCCGAAAGACAGCGGCGGCUGCGCGCCUCGGCGUACCCGGUGUAGUACCACUCUCCCCGGGCCCGGGCGCGCGUGCCGGCCGUCAAAACCCCCCCCAUCUCCAUGGUUGACCUCGGAUCGGGUAGGAAUACCCGCUGAACUUAAGCAUAUCAAUAAGCGGAGGAAAAGAAACCAACAGGGAUUGCCCCAGUAACGGCGAGUGAAGCGGCAACAGCUCAAAUUUGAAAUCUGGCCCCCCGGGUCCGAGUUGUAAUUUGCAGAGGAUGCUUCGGGCGCGGCGCCUUCCAAGUCCCCUGGAACGGGGCGCCAGAGAGGGUGAGAGCCCCGUCCGGUCGGCCGCCAAGCCCGUGUGAAGCUCCUUCGACGAGUCGAGUAGUUUGGGAAUGCUGCUCUAAACGGGAGGUAGACCCCUUCUAAAGCUAAAUACCGGCCAGAGACCGAUAGCGCACAAGUAGAGUGAUCGAAAGAUGAAAAGCACUUUGAAAAGAGGGUUAAACAGUACGUGAAAUUGUUGAAAGGGAAGCGCUUGCGACCAGACGUGCGGCGGGUGCUCAGCGGGCGUUCUCGCCCGUGCACUCGCCCGCCGCAGGCCAGCGUCGGUUCGGGCGGGGGGAGAAAGGCGCCGGGAACGUACCUCCUCCGGGAG
rnacentral:rRNA from 1 species